GGACGACGCUGGCGGCGUGGAUUAGGCAUGCAAGUCGAACGGUAUCAUCCUUCGGGGGUGAGAGAGUGGCGAACUGGUGAGUAACACGUAGGUUAUCUACCCUCAAGACGGGGACAACCCAGGGAAACUUGGGCUAAUACCGGAUGUGAGCAACUUUUAGUUGUUUGAAAGGUGGCGUAAGCUGUCGCUUGGGGAUGAGCCUGCGUCCUAUUAGUUAGUUGGUGAGGUAACGGCUCACCUAGGCAAUGAUAGGUAGGCGGCCUUAACGGGUGGUCGCCCACACUGGGAUUGAGAUACGGCCCAGACUCCUACGGGAGGCAGCAGUCGAGAAUAGUCUACAAUGGUCGGAAGACUGAUAGUGCGACGCCGCGUGAACGAUGAAUCCCUUCGGGGUGUAAAGUUCUUUUAUAUGUGAGCAGUGCUUCUUAUAUUAACAGUAUGGGGAGAGAGAUAUUAGCAUAUGAAUAAGCAACGGCUAACUCCGUG
rnacentral:rRNA from 1 species